rnacentral:rRNA from 1 species
AUUGAACGCUGGCGGAAUGCUUUACACAUGCAAGUCGAACGGCAGCACGGGGGCAGCCCUGGUGGCGAGUGGCGAACGGGUGAGUAAUACAUCGGAACGUGCCCGGUCGUGGGGGAUAACGUAGCGAAAGUUACGCUAAUACCGCAUACGAUCUGAGGAUGAAAGCGGGGGACCUUCGGGCCUCGCGCGAUCGGAGCGGCCGAUGUCAGAUUAGGUAGUUGGUGGGGUAAAGGCCUACCAAGCCGACGAUCUGUAGCUGGUCUGAGAGGACGACCAGCCACACUGGGACUGAGACACGGCCCAGACUCCUACGGGAGGCAGCAGUGGGGAAUCUUAGACAAUGGGCGCAAGCCUGAUCCAGCCAUUCCGCGUGCAGGACGAAGGCCUUCGGGUUGUAAACUGCUUUUGUACGGAACGAAAAGGCUCUGGCUAAUACCUGGGGCUCAUGACGGUACCGUAAGAAUAAGCACCGGCUAACUACGUG